GAUGAACGCUAGCGGGAGGCUUAACACAUGCAAGUCGAGGGGCAGCACGAGGUAGCAAUACUUUGGUGGCGACCGGCAGACGGGUGAGUAACGCGUAUGCAACCUACCCUGUACAGGGGGAUAGCCCGGAGAAAUUCGGAUUAAUACCCCAUAAAGAUAUGAAGAGGCAUCUUUUAUAUUAAAGUUUCGACGGUACGGGAUGGGCAUGCGUAACAUUAGCUAGUUGGUAGGGUAACGGCCUACCAAGGCAACGAUGUUUAGGGGUCCUGAGAGGGUGAUCCCCCACACUGGUACUGAGACACGGACCAGACUCCUACGGGUGGCUG
rnacentral:rRNA from 1 species